rnacentral:rRNA from 1 species
GUCCUAGCCGUAAACGAUGCACUUUAGGCGUGAGGGGUAUCGACCCCCUUCGUGCCGACGCAAACGCAUUAAAAGUGCCGCCUGGGGAGUACGGCCGCAAGGUUGAAACUCAAAGGAAUUGACGGGGGCCCGCACAAGCGGUGGAGCAUGUGGUUUAAUUCGACGCAACGCGAAGAACCUUACCUGGGCUUGAACUACUAGAAGUAGAAUUGAUGAAAGUCGAGACGACCCGUAAAGUCGGGAACUAGCAGAGGUGCUGCAUGGCUGUCGU